rnacentral:rRNA from 1 species
AUUGAACGCUGGCGGCAGGCCUAACACAUGCAAGUCGAACGGUAACAGGAAGCAGCUUGCUGCUUUGCUGACGAGUGGCGGACGGGUGAGUAAUGUCUGGGAAACUGCCCGAUGGAGGGGGAUAACUACUGGAAACGGUAGCUAAUACCGCAUAACGUCGCAAGACCAAAGAGGGGGACCUUAGGGCCUCUUGCCAUCGGAUGUGCCCAGAUGGGAUUAGCUAGUAGGUGGGGUAACGGCUCACCUAGGCGACGAUCCCUAGCUGGUCUGAGAGGAUGACCGGCCACACUGGAACUGAGACACGGUCCAGACUCCUACGGGAGGCAGCAGUGGGGAAUAUUGCACAGCGGGCGCAAGCCUGAUGCAGCCAUGCCGCGUGUAUGAAGAAGGCCUUCGGGUUGUAAAGUACUUUCAGCGGGGAGGAAGGGAGUAAAGUUAAUACCUUUGCUCAUUGACGUUACCCGCAGAAGAAGCACCGGCUAACUCCGUG